UGAUGAUUUCAAUCCUUUGAAUGUUCUUCGAUCGCAGCCUUUUGGCUGUCAUGAGAAGCUUUAUUGAUGAACCCUUUAACUCUGAG